AUUGAACGCUGGCGGCAGGCCUAACACAUGCAAGUCGAGCGGUAGCACAGAGAGCUUGCUCUCGGGUGACGAGUGGCGGACGGGUGAGUAGUGUCUGGGAAACUGCCCGAUGGAGGGGGAUAACUACUGGAAACGGUAGCUAAUACCGCAUAACGUCGCAAGACCAAAGAGGGGGGACCUUCGGGCCGUCUUGCCAUCGGAUGUGCCCAGGUGGGAUUAGCUUGUAGGUGG
rnacentral:rRNA from 1 species